GACGAACGCUGGCGGCGUGCUUAACACAUGCAAGUCGAGCGGUAAGGCCCUUUCGGGGGUACACGAGCGGCGAACGGGUGAGUAACACGUGGGUGACCUGCCCUCAGCUCUGGGAUAAGCCUGGGAAACUGGGUCUAAUACUGGAUAUGACUCCACGGUGCAUGUCGUGGGGUGGAAAGCCUUGUGCGGCUGAGGAUGGGCCCGCGGCCUAUCAGCUUGUUGGUGGGGUGAUGGCCUACCAAGGCGACGACGGGUAGCCGGCCUGAGAGGGCGACCGGCCACACUGGGACUGAGACACGGCCCAGACUCCUACGGGAGGCAGCAGUGGGGAAUCUUGCGCAAUGGGCGAAAGCCUGACGCAGCGACGCCGCGUGAGGGAUGACGGCCUCGGUUGU
rnacentral:rRNA from 1 species